CCUACGGGAGGCAGCAGUGGGGGAUAUUGCACAAUGGGGGGAACCCUGAUGCAGCGACGCCGCGUGGGUGAAGGAGUGCUUCGGCAUGUAAAGCCCUAUCGGCAGGGAAGAAGCAAGACGGUACCUGACUAAGAAGCCCCGGCUAACUACGUGCCAGCAGCCGCGGUAAUACGUAGGGGGCGAGCGUUAUCCGGAUUCACUGGGUGUAAAGGGCGCGUAGGUGGGCGCUUAAGUCAGGUGUGAAAACUCCGGGCCCAACCUGGAGACUGCACUUGAAACUGGGUGUCUUGAGGGCAGGAGAGGAAAGUGGAAUUCCUAGUGUAGCGGUGAAAUGCGUAGAUAUUAGGAGGAACACCAGUGGCGAAGGCGACUUUCUGGACUGUACCUGACGCUGAGGCGCGAAAGCGUGGGUAGCGAACGGGAUUAGAUACCCGUGUAGUC
rnacentral:rRNA from 1 species